rnacentral:rRNA from 1 species
ACGACCAUACCCACUGGAGAACUCGGGAUCCCGUCCGCUCUCCCAUAGAUAAGCCAGUGAGGGCCGGAUUAGUAGUUGGGUCGGUGACGACCAGCGAAUACCUGGUGUUGUAUGUG